AGCGAACGCUGGCGGCAGGCUUAACACAUGCAAGUCGAGCGGGCACUUCGGUGUCAGCGGCAGACGGGUGAGUAACACGUGGGAACGUGCCCUUCGGUUCGGAAUAACUCAGGGAAACUUGAGCUAAUACCGGAUACGCCCUUUUGGGGAAAGGUUUACUGCCGAAGGAUCGGCCCGCGUCUGAUUAGCUAGUUGGUGGGGUAAUGGCCUACCAAGGCGACGAUCAGUAGCUGGUCUGAGAGGAUGAUCAGCCACACUGGGACUGAGACACGGCCCAGACUCCUACGGGAGGCAGCAGUGGGGAAUAUUGGACAAUGGGCGCAAGCCUGAUCCAGCCAUGCCGCGUGAGUGAUGAAGGCCUUAGGGUUGUAAAGCUCUUUCGACGGGGACGAUAAUGACGGUACCCGUAGAAGAAGCCCCGGCUAACUUCGUGCCAGCCGCCGCUGUAAC
rnacentral:rRNA from 1 species